GACAUAGGUGGCGAACGUUAUCCGGAAUUAUUGGGCGUAAAGGAUGCGUAGAUGGUACGAUAAGUUAUCAGUGGGAAAUCGGGGCUCAACCUCGUGGAAGCUGGUAAUACUGUCAUACUUGAGUACAGGAGAGGUUAAUGGAACUCCAUGUGGAGCGGUAAAAUGCGUAGAUAUAGGGAAGAACACCAAUAAAGGCGAAGGCAGUUAACUAUUCUAUUCCUGACAUUGAGGCAUGAAAGCGUGGGGAGCAAAACGG
rnacentral:rRNA from 1 species